rnacentral:rRNA from 1 species
CCUUCGGGGUACACGAGCGGCGAACGGGUGAGUAACACGUGGGUAACCUGCCCUGUACUCUGGGAUAAGCCUGGGAAACUAGGUCUAAUACCGGAUAUGACCUGCCUCCGCAUGGUGGUGGGUGGAAAGUUCCGGCGGUACGGGAUGGGCCCGCGGCCUAUCAGCUUGUUGGUGGGGUGAUGGCCUACCAAGGCGACGACGGGUAGCCGGCCUGAGAGGGUGACCGGCCACACUGGGACUGAGACACGGCCCAGACUCCUACGGGAGGCAGCAGUGGGGAAUAUUGCACAAUGGGCGAAAGCCUGAUGCAGCGACGCCGCGUGAGGGAUGACGGCCUUCGGGUUGUAAACCUCUUUCAGCAGGGACGAAGCGCGAGUGACGGUACCUGCAGAAGAAGCACCGGCUAACUACGUGCCAGCAGCCGCGGUAAUACGUAGGGUGCGAGCGUUGUCCGGAAUUAUUGGGCGUAAAGAGCUCGUAGGCGGUUUGUUGCGUCGGCCGUGAAAACUUCACGCUUAACGUGGAGCCUGCGGUCGAUACGGGCAGACUUGAGUUCGGCAGGGGAGACUGGAAUUCCUGGUGUAGCGGUGAAAUGCGCAGAUAUCAGGAGGAACACCGGUGGCGAAGGCGGGUCUCUGGGCCGAUACUGACGCUG